GGGUGGAUGGAGAUGUGAUGUGAUGAGAGCUUCGGUGAAAUCAUUUUGCAGCUUGCAUCAGAGCGGCAACAUGUCUACUACGUAUGUUGGAUUAUGGCAGAAACAAAGGGAAACGCAACCUUCCAACCCAACCCAGUUUGUUCUUGAUUUUCCAUUUUUCUUUCCGUAAAUGAAUAUCUCCCAUUUGGUUCGGCUGCUGUGACUUCGUUCUCCUUCGUUCUCCGUGUUCGUGUGGAGGAUUUUGCUGGUGGUCGGGGUGGUCAAGGUGGCCGAGCAUGGAUGGGGCUGGCUGGCUAAAUAAGUUCUUUUGAUCCUUGGAGCUGACACCAAUGAUGGACGGGCGACUCAGGGCGUGUUGGUGAUUGAGUUACUCCGUACAUAUCUUUGUUCCUUUGUUUAGACACUCUUCCUCUUCGAUUCCUAUCUUUUUUCGUUUUCUUUACUUCAUUCUUAACAGGAAACAGCUCGUUUCGCAAAAUAUAGGAGAGCCCAUGCUCGAUGUGAUAUUCACAUAUAUACGGAGUAUACUAGUAUUAUUUUAUCUAUAUAUAUAGCCUUUUAACAUGAAAGAAUGUUUAUAUUUAUAAAAAAAAAACCUUUUUGUUCGAAUAGGAGUGCAACAACAGCAGCUCUGUAACUAUUAGAGCUCUUGUAGUAAAAUGAGGGAACAGGCACAGAAGCUAGACAAGGUCGAUGAAUUCUCAUUUAUUUGCUUUAUUUCGAAAAUAAUUAUAAUAUUCAAAAACAACAUCUCUAAAUGGGGGCCCCUUUGAAAAAAAAAGAUGGUAAUCAAAAUAGAUUAAGUUGUUGACCUGUCACUUGCUCCCUUCAUCGAGGACAGGAUAUUCUUCAAUAAGAAUUUGAAAUAGCCUGCGGGAGUCUUUGGUAGGGCACACAUUAUUCAAACGGAGAGGGGCACCCUUCCAAAUAUGUGCAAUAUUCCAG
rnacentral:sRNA from 1 species